rnacentral:lncRNA from 1 species
GGAGGCUGUUGAAGGGAUCUAAUUUCUUGGUACAUGCGCACGGGAGAAAAGCCUGCUACAGGGUCCUGAAAAGGCCUGAGUUUCAUGUGCACACAUCCAGCAGUGUGGAAUGGCAAAGUCUAGCUGUCGUCUGGCUCCCUUCAUCAUUCCGUGUAUCAGUUUCCUUUCAACACUGACCUCAGAGCUUGUCUUACUGUAUUUUCUCGGAGAAUGAUUUCUUGGGACUUCAUGAGGAGAAAGGCCUGGAGAGAUGGCUCAGCAAUUAAGAGCACUGGCUGCUCUCCCAGAGGUCCUGAGUUCAAUUCCCAGCAACCACAUGGAGGCUCACAGCCAGCUAUACAAUUGUAGUCCCAUGAAUUCCUAUGACUUCUUCUGGGGUGUGUGCAGAUGUACAUGCAGACAAGACAUCUGCAUAAAUAGACAAAUCUUUAAAAAACAAGGAGGAGGAGGAGGAGGAGGAGGAGUUGGAGGAGGAAGAGGAGGAAGAGGAGGAGGAGGAGGAGAAGCUCUUUGCAUGGUUGCCUCAGAACUCAGCACUGUAGCAAAUUAAAGCUGUUUUUUUGUUUG